rnacentral:rRNA from 1 species
UACGAAGGGGGCUAGCGUUGCUCGGAAUCACUGGGCGUAAAGCGCACGUAGGCGGCUUUUUAAGUCAGGGGUGAAAUCCUGGAGCUCAACUCCAGAACUGCCUUUGAUACUGAGAAGCUUGAGUCCGGGAGAGGUGAGUGGAAUUCCCAGUGUAGAGGUGAAAUUCGUAGAUAUUGGGAAGAACACCGGUGGCGAAGGCGGCGACCUGGUCCGAUACUGACGCUGAGGCGCGAAAGCGUGGGGAGCAAACAGG